rfam:Bacillus sp. FJAT-22058 super1, whole genome shotgun sequence.
UACAAGCUGCGUUGUUCGUAAUGAUAAUUAAGUUUUAACCUUUAAGCUGUAAUAGGGAGUUUUAUAUUGAAACAGGAAUGUUAUGCCUCGUCACUGACUUGGACAACAGGAUUGCUUCUGCAAACACCCACUUUGAGGAGUGGUGGUUUAAAACUUUCUUACUUGAAUACGGCAAUUGCGGCUUACUA